ACCGAUCGGUCCACAGAGGCAGAGCGCGGUCCAUCAAAAAUCUCACAUGGUCCACAGAUGUGGUUCACGAUGGCGGAAGCUUUUUUUGCACGAUCCAACAGUCAAAAUUUCAUCCAUCAAGAGAUCCAAUGGCUGAAGACGCUCCCGACUUUGAAUAGGAGAUCAAAAGCACUGAUCGAUGGCCCAGAUCUCAUCUGAA
rnacentral:lncRNA from 1 species